UUAACCCAAAUCGCCGUCUUCGUAAAACUAUUUCCUUCGGACAAUUACUUAUUUCAACUGUCAAACUAUUUUCUUUUGAAUUUUCUAUUUAUUCAGAUAAUUUAUUAUUUCUACUGUUUUCUUUAACAAUGUGUGAACCGGCUAAAUUUCCUUUCAUCUUAAAAUUGUCCGCCCAAGAUAACACAACCCCUUCAUUUCAUACACAGUCACUAUAAAUUUCUAAAAAAAAAGCCUAAAUUCUACUAUCAAACCCACCCAACAAAUUUACAACUACCAGUUCCAAUUACUCAUGCUUCGACCUCAUUCAAAUAAUUAUGGGCCAGCCUACUUUAAUUUUUAAAUAACCAUGUCAAUAAUAUUUAAAAAAAACAAACAAACCAUAACUAUGUUCACUUCAAAAAAAUAUAAAAUUAAUAAAAGAUGGGCAAUACAAAAUAAUUAUCAUUCUUAUUUGUGUAGAACAUGCAGCAGAAGAUCAAAACAAUUGGGACGACACCCUCGAACCGCAUCCAAUAAUCGUUAGGAUCAUUAGGAUGUGGCCCAUCACAAAUCACAAAAAU
rnacentral:lncRNA from 1 species